rnacentral:lncRNA from 1 species
UAUAAUUAUAAAUAUAGUAUAGUUAAAGAUAUAUAUAGUUAAAAAUAUAGCAGUUAUAACUAUAUAAAUCUUAUUUGGUUGGAUAUAGUAGAAAGCGCUGCAAAUAUAAAUAAUUUAUUUGGUUACAUACAGUUGAGAAAUAAUUUUUAAAAUUUUAUUAUUUUAUAUAUAUAAUGGUGAGAUUACCUCCAAUGUAAAAAAAAAAAUAAUUUUUGUUUAAAAAAUAUUGAGGAGGUAAGCAUACAUUUUAUUUAAAAUUACUCUCUCCAACAGCUGUAGUUGAAACUGUGGCCAAUUUGGGUGUAGUUCGAACUGCUGCAGUUGGGCCUCCUCCUGCCGUUCCUACUGCAGCAGUUGGAGUUAAAUACAUCAAAUCAAAUACGAAAUUUGCAUUUACAUGCAAUUACAACUGCAGUACAGUUGGAACUACAUGCAACCAAACGGUCCCUAAUUACACAUACUUCUGAGUAUUGAAAAAAUAGAAGUAAAAAAAUACAUAUAUAAUUAUGCUACUAUACUAUCGAUAAUACCAAACGCUUGCUAUCGAGUUUUCGGCCGUUGGAUAAAAGAAUAUACGUUUAGAAUGAUAGUGAUUAUCUAGGUAUCGAUAGUACAGUACCAAAUGUUUGCUAUCGAGUUUUCGGUCGUUGAAUGAAAAGAUGUAUGGUUAAGAUGAUAGUGAUCAUCUAGGAUUGAGUGGGUGGGUAGUUGGUUGAAUAGUAUAAUCUAACGAAUGAAAAUGAUCAAAGAAUAGAUCUAACGGCAGAAAACUUGAUUGUAUCAAGAAUUUAGUAUAGUAUAUAGUAGCUCAACUCUCUCUCUCUAUAUAAUAUUU